AGCAGUUUAUGGAGUUGAGCACACAGGCAGGUGCUGGACCAGAAACGACACACUUUUCCAGGCUUGGCUCGGGGUCUUCAUGAUGCUUUAAAGUUUGAUGGUCUGGAGCGGAAAUGCCAGAGCAACCUGCAGGUGAUAAAGAAGAACAGGUCAUACAGUUAGAAGUCCAAAAUCAAGGUGUCCGCUGGGUUGGUUCCUUCUGAGGGCCCUGCUGGAGAAACUGAUCCAUGCCUCUCUCCUAGCUUCUGGUGGUUGCUUGCAAUCUUUGGAGUUCCCAGCUUGUAGCUGCAUCACUCCAAUAUCUGCCUCCAUCUUCACAUGGCACUCUCUUUUGUGCGUAUGUGUCUCCUCUGUGUCCAUCUCCAAAUCUUUAUAAGGACAUUGCCAUUCAGGACUAGGGCCCACUCUAAUCUAGGAUGUCCUCAUUUUAGUUUGAUUACAUAUGUAAAAACCCUACUUCCAAAUACUGUUCAUAGGUACAGAUGUUAGGAUUUCAAAAUAUAUUUUUGAGAGAUGCAAUUCAAACCACAUAACCCAAU
rnacentral:lncRNA from 1 species